rnacentral:lncRNA from 1 species
GCUUUCUAAUAAUGGCUAUACUGAAACCGAGCAAAUAGCAGUGCUAGUACGCAGAAGACUUGAUUAUAGAGUUUUCCCAACUUCAGAACGUACAAUCUCUGACCCAAAAAAGCAGAUACAGUCCUAUCUCGCCACAAAAAUGUGACUACUUGAAGAGCAUCCAUUCAUGAAUGCUGAAUUUUGCAAAGAGAAUAAAUUAGUGGUAUAAAAUCUAGGAAGGUCCUAUAACAAAGGAGUCUAUAUCUUGUCAUGGAGAGUGACCUCCAAAUAAUGGGCAUCAUAAACGAAGGCACUAUAACAAAGGUGUCUAUAUCUUGUCAUGGAGAGUGACCACCAAAUCAUGGGCAUCAUCUAGUAGCUUCC